rnacentral:lncRNA from 1 species
CAAUCAGCACCCUGUGUCUAGCUCAGGGUUUGUGAGUGCACCAGUCGACACACUGUAUCUAGCUGCUCUGGUGGGGCCUUGGAGAACCUUUAUGUCUAGCUCAGGGAUUGUAAAUACACCAAUCGGCACUCUGUAUCUAGCUCAAGGUUUGUAAAUACACCAAUCGGCACUCUGUAUCUAGCUCAAGGUUUGUAAACACACCAAUCAGCACCCUGU